rnacentral:misc_RNA from 1 species
GGAAAUAGAUAAAUUGCAGACGUAUAAGCUGUUCAUCUAGUGCUAGUGAUAUUUCCCUUGAUUCUCUUCUAUUCACUUUUAAUUUCUCUUAUUUAUUAAAUAAUAUUGUCAAACGAGGAACUAACAGAUGGAAAACAAUGGACGUCUUCAGUAAGAUAAAGUCAACAGUUAGUGGAGCACUACCUGGGAAUCCAGUAACAAGAGAUUUUGAAGUGUUAACUCUGCAAGGAAGUGGAGGCCCCUGUUAUCAGUGGAAGAUUCAUGCAGCUGUUAAGAAAAGCACCAAAGAGAAUGCUGCUGUUUGGAUAUUCGACAAGAAGUUAGUAGAAAAAUAUUCUAAACCUGAUCGCGAAAUAGUUAUUAGUAUCAUAAAACGAGGAGUCUCUCAGCUAACUAAAUUAAGACAUCCUAAAAUCCUCUCUGUUAUGCAUCCACUCGAAGAGUCAAGGGAUUCAUUAGCAUUUGUGACCGAGCCAGUGUUUUCAAGUCUAGGAAAUAUUCUUGGUGAUCAUACAAAUUUAUCGUCAAACAUUCCUUCUAAUUUACAAAAUUUCAAAUUGUUUCCUGUUGAAGUAAAAUAUGGUUUAUUGCAAAUCACAGAGGGUUUAACAUUUCUUCAUAAUAGCGCAAAGCUAGUUCAUUUUGCUUUAUCUCCUUCAAGCAUUAUUUUAAAUAAGAAUGGAGCUUGGAAACUAUUUGGUUUUGAUUUUUCAAUCCCAAACUCAAAUAGCAAUGACCAAGAACCUUUUUGGGCUUGUCCUGAAUGGAGAUCGAGCCUUCCUCCAAUAGCGCAGCCUCCGCUUAAUUUCACAUCUCCAGAAAGUAUACUGCAGCAAGCUAGUUCUCCUGCCAGCGAUAUGUAUUCGCUGGGAAUUCUGUUUUAUGCCCUGCAUAAUGAAGGAAAAACACCCUAUGAUUGUCGCGAUAAUCUAGACGGAUUUCGAUCAAAUAUCGAAAAGUUACGAACUAUUAGAAAUUCUAUUUCACACGAUUUACCAGAAGAAAUAAGAGAGCAAGUUAAAAUGCUAUUAAACACAGAACCAACUUUACGACCAGAUGCUGACCAAAUGUCCAAAGUACCAUAUUUUGAAGAUGUUGGCGUAAUGACUCUACAAUAUUUGGAUUCGCUUUUUCAAAGAGAUAAUUUGGAAAAGUCUAAAUUUUUCAAAGGUUUACCUCAGAUUAUUAACCAAAUGCCAUUGAGAGUUCAACUGAAUCGCGUUAUACCAUGUAUCGCUAAGGAAUUUUCGAAUCCAAAUAUGGUCCCUUUCGUUCUGCCAACUACUUUAAGUGUAGCUGAAAAAUCGUCAGAUAAGGAAUACAUGGAAUUAAUAUGGCCAGACUUGAAAGCAGUUUUUUCACUGAGAGAUCCUGUACAAAUAUCUUUGAUAUUUCUUCAAAAUAUGAAUUUAUUAUUGAGUAAAACUUCAUCUGUUGAGAUAAGGGAUGUUGUUCUGCCCAUGGUUUAUAGAUGUUUAGAAGGAAAUGCUGCUCAAAUACAGGAACUAUGUCUCGAAAUUCUGCCUACUUUUGCUAAUUUGGUUGAAUACAAUUCCAUCAAGAAUCAUGUUAUCCCCAGAAUUAGAAAGCUGGCUUUGCAAACAUCUAUUUUAAGUGUGAGGGUUAAUUGCUUAAUAUGUAUUGGAAAGAUAAUGGAAUAUAUGGAUAAAUGGUAUGUAUUGGACGAUAUUUUUCCAAUACUAACAGAAAUACCAUCUAGAGAACCAGCUGUGUUAAUGAGUAUGCUAGGAAUUUAUAAAGUAGCGCUAACCCAUAAAAAAUUAGGAAUUACAAAGGAUAUUAUGGCAAAUCGGGUAUUACCGUUUAUUAUACCCCUUUCUAUUGACAACAGUUUAAAUUUAAAUCAGUUCAAUGCUUUCAUGUCAAUUAUACGCGAUAUGCUGAAUAAAGUAGAGGAUGAACAUAGAGUAAAAUUAGAACAAAUAAAGUCUAUACAGGAUGAACAAAGAGGUUUAGAUUUUAAACAUCAUGCUGCUAACAAUGUUAAAUCCGAAGAAAAUAAGCAAAAUAAUGGCAACACAUUGAUGGACGGAUUUAUGUCAACUUUCAAUGGGAAUGGUACAGAAAAUACAAAUAAUAAGGCUUCAACGAAAAAUUUUUCUAAUUCUAAGCCUCAGCUGACAAUGGAAGAAAAGCUUAAACUGACACGACAAACAGAACAAAAAAAUUUAUAUGCUGAAAAUUCAUCAACUCAAUUGAAACCUUUAAAUAACUUGAAUCAGUCGGUAACUGCACAAAAAGCAUCGACAGUUAAAGAUUUAAGCUCUCAAUUACAAGAUUCACUUAUUUCUCCAAUAUCCCAAGCACAAAACAGAUCUAUGACUCCAAAUACCAUGCCUAUGACUCCACAAAGUAUGCCUAUGACUCCACAAAGUCUGCCUAUGACCCCACGAAGUGUGCCUAUGAUACCACAAAGCAGACCUGUCAGUAGUAGACCAACUAAAACCAACCCGUUUCUUCAACCGAGGAAUGCACCGUCAUCGUUUCAACCACAAGCGACCUCCCAACAAGCAAAUCCUUUGCAACCAAUUUCUCCCAUGAUGAAUUUUUCAUACCGUCCGAAUAUUCCUGUAACUCCUCCGAAUCCAAUUUAUUCAAAUUUACAAAUGUCAAAACAGAAUACUCCUGGAACGAAUAAUGCUGGCAAAAGUAAUGACAAAACAGCCAAUGACGAAUUACAAGAUAUAUUUGGCUAAAGUAUACAUUUUCUUUGACUUUUUCAUCUAUUUCAAUUGUAACCUGAACAGUUAUUUUUAACGUUUACCGUCUAGUCAUAUUUCUUUCCAGAGUACGUUUUCAGUUUAUUUAUAAGCAUUUAUUUCAAGAUAAUUUUACGUUUCAAUUGAAAUUGAAAUUACUUUUGUUACGCUGCCAAUAACAAUCACUAAUUUUCGAACACUUUUCUUUACAGCCCAUAUAUUUUGGACAAACUUUUGAAUUAUAUCUUCGAACGCUGACUUAUCUCUUUCUAGUCAGAGUAAUCUUUAAUCAUGUAUUUUCAUAGAGCAAACACUAAAGAAUUUUUAAUCUUUAUAUUGUCUAUACCAUCAGCAUGAUGGACGAGAAUUGCUUGUUACAAAAAGGAAAAUAGUAAGCGGCAAUUUGCAUAUUAUCCGCCAUCAGUCACCAUAUCUUAGCUUGUCGCAAUUUCAUUAACAUUCUUGCAUAAUUGCCUCUAGCGUUUGGCGUAGCUGAAAAUCGCCAUCUGUAGUUUUUCUUUGACAUCAACUUAUUAAGUAGGAUUAUUAACAGACACUAAUUAAAAAUCGAUAAAGAAGUAUAAGUGUAAAAGUUAUUGAUAGAUAAUCUAAUUGGAGUUUUAACGAUUUAGUUUUUAUACCUUUUCUUUAUUUCAAAGGUGAAACAAACGGAUAUCCUGCUUGACAAGAACUUCUUUUCCCUAUAUUUACUUAUGUAACAUCAUUGACAUUCAUCUAAUCAAUUUUUCUUUAUGUCAACUACCUUUUUUUGUUUUUCUUAGAACACGCCUACGAGUAUAAAAUUCCUUGAAAAACAUUCUUUUAUUACGACUUGGUGCUCUAAUCUAUUCGAUCUUAUCUAAGAUAAUCUAGAAUACAACAAAAAAUUUCCUUAUCUCUCCUAUGUAAUAAUCAGUUUAUAAUACUCUUAAAGCUUUAACAACCCCUCCAACUGCGAAAUAUCUUAUCGUUAUGUAAGAAAUUCUCUCGCACGUGGUCAUCUGUGCUGUUGCCUGGCAAUACUAACUAAUAUGGCGUCCUUCCCGCCACUUUAUACAAAGUGGUUAUUGAUCUAAGGACUUUUGUUGUUUUCGCUUAUUCUAUAGCCUAAUACCUAUAGGCGAAUAUUGACUGUGAAUUUUUUUUUAACCCACCAUUCAUUUAUAUGUUGAAUGACAAAAUUUUUUAAAGGGAUUAAACAUAAUGGUAGUGAGAGAAAGAGAGAGAGAGAGAGAGAACAAAAGACAUAGAGAGAAAAUUAAAAUAUGCUUAUGUCUUAAGAUUUUUAUAAUAUUAUAAAUCAAAAAAGCAAAAAUUUUCUUUUAUCAAUUGGGUGAUAGACCAUUUUCAAGAGCUAGAGAAAAUGUGUUAAAAUACGAUUGAGAGAGAAGGAAAGAGAGAGAGAGAGAGAUUUACUAGCUUUCAAUGAAUAAAAAAAAUUCAAUUGUAAUUUAGAACAAGAUAGAUUGACUAACUCGUUACUGUUUUUCUUUCAUUUCCUCAUUCAAGCUGAUCCAUAUCAAAUGCUUUACAUUUUCUUAAAAAGCUUGCACUGCAUAUUCAUACAGCAUUAUCAUUAAUAUAUAACUAUAUGUGUAUUUAUAAUCGUGUUUAAAAGUGAAAGUAUAUCAUAUAAAUAGUAUAGAGAGACAGGUUAAUAUAGAUGUUUAUUGGAUUAUCACUAUUAUUAAAAAUUUUUAAACAUUACCGACAAAAGUACCUCUCUUAUUUUCCUUUUUGACCGCCCUCUUAUACUUAUCUUAUAUUAAAUAUUUAUGUUAAUUGGCUUAAUUUCAAAAUAAUUGUUUAUGAU